CUUUGCUGGCGACCGGCGCACGGGUGAGUAACACGUAUCCAACCUGCCCUUUACUCGGGGAUAGCCUUUCGAAAGAAAGAUUAAUACCCGAUAGCAUAAUGAUUCCGCAUGGUUUCAUUAUUAAAGGAUUCCGGUAAAGGAUGGGGAUGCGUUCCAUUAGGUUGUUGGUGAGGUAACGGCUCACCACGCCUUCGAUGGAUAGGGGUUCUGAGAGGAAGGUCCCCCACAUUGGAACUGAGACACGGUCCAA
rnacentral:rRNA from 1 species